GAUCCUGGCUCAGGAUGAACGCUAGCUACAGGCUUAACACAUGCAAGUCGAGGGGCAGCAUGUUGGUUGCUUGCAACCGAUGAUUGCGACCGGCGCACGGGUGAGUAACGCGUAUCCAACCUACCCUUGUCCAUCGGAUAACCCGUCGAAAGGCGGCCUAACACGAUAUGCGGUUCACAGCAGGCAUCUAACGUGAACGAAAUGUGAAGGAGAAGGAUGGGGAUGCGUCUGGUUAG
rnacentral:rRNA from 1 species